GGAUGAAAUGAUAUUCAGGGAAGCAAAGAAAGACCCAGUAGGACGCCAAGCUUAUAGGCUUCUCACUAGCAUACAUGAGUGCUUUGAACAAAUUUCUGAGAAAAUCCUCAUGAGUGACAGAAUACAAAGAGAAGUGGCUGAAUAUGAAAAGAAACUAACAGCCAUGGCCUUCCGGAGCUUAAAUGUAGAUAAACUGCAAGCUGAUCUCGACGCCAUCAAAAAAGAAAACGAGCACCUUGAGCAACAACUUGAAGAUAAUUGAUGCCACAACUCAUUCCUGUGGCUAUAAUAUGCUAAUUCAAUUGUUGUUCCAUACCAUAACUUGAUUUGGUUUCUGGGGAAUUUUUAUUUACACGCG
rnacentral:misc_RNA from 1 species